rnacentral:ribozyme from 1 species
UGCCCAGCAACUCCUAUCCCUACCUCCACGCGGUACCGGCCGGAAACUAUGAGCAACCUUAGGGAAGAUCGGGUAACCAACCCCGGUGGGAACUUUGGUCUUGGUCGUAGGCUGACAGGGAAGG